rnacentral:rRNA from 1 species
UACGUAGGGGGCGAGCGUUGUCCGGAAUUACUGGGCGUAAAGCGCGCGUAGGUGGUUUCGACAAGUUCGGCGUGAAAUCUCCACGGCUCAACUUGGAGGGUCGUCGAAGACUGUCGGAACUAGGGUCUGGCGAGAGGCAGGUAGAAUUCCCGGUGGAGCGGUGAAAUGCGUAGAGAUCGGGAGGAAUACCAGUGGCGAAGGCGGCCUGCUGGGCCACGACCGACACUGAGGUGCGAAAGCGUGGGGAGCGAACCGG